rnacentral:tRNA from 1 species
GAGGGUAGGGCUCAGUGGUAGAACACAUGCUUAGCAUGUGGGUUCAAUUCCUGGGUUCAAUUCCCAGUACCUCCA